rnacentral:lncRNA from 1 species
CAGAGCCGCCGCAGGGCGGGGCCAGCUCCUCCCAGAAGCUGAGGUACGGAUGCCCUGGAGUAGGGGCGUGGUUCUGGCGGCUGCAGGGACCAGGAGGCAACCCCCCAGCCGCCACAGGUCCCAGGAGCCAGACUCCUUCUGCGGCAGGGGCUGGAAGCCCAGGAGUCCCUCUGGACUCGGGCCGGCAUGGUGCUGCCGGGAGAAUGUACUGGUGCAAAAUCCGGACGCGGAGAAGAGGCGGGGGCCCUUCCUUCCUCGUGUGCAGCAGCAGAUGGGCACUCCCGAGGGGCCACAGGACUCCUCAUUCCCCACAAGUCACCAGCCUGGGGGCUGCAGGGCACACUGACCAUAGCAGUGUGUCCUAGUGUCCUGGCUUCUUGGGCUCUGGAAAGCCCAAGAAGUAACCCGGAAGCUAGUGCUGGCACCCUCUCCCCAACGUUCCCAGCUCUGGCUCCCUGAUGAUAAGCUCUAAUGGAC